GACGAACGCUGGCGGCGUGCUUAACACAUGCAAGUCGAACGGUAAGGCCCUUCGGGGUACACGAGUGGCGAACGGGUGAGUAACACGUGGGUGAUCUGCCCUGCACUUCGGGAUAAGCCUGGGAAACUGGGUCUAAUACCGGAUAGGACCACUGCCUGCAUGGGUGGUGGUGGAAAGCUUUUGCGGCGUGGGAUGGGCCCGCGGCCUAUCAGCUUGUUGGUGGGGUGAUGGCCUACCAAGGCGACGACGGGUAGCCGGCCUGAGAGGGUGACCGGCCACACUGGGACUGAGAUACGGCCCAGACUCCUAGGGGAGGCAGCAGUGGGGAAUAUUGCACAAUGGGCGCAAGCCUGAUGCAGCGACGCCGCGUGAGGGAUGACGGCCUUCGGGUUGUAAACCUCUUGCAGCACCGACGAAGCGCAAGUGACGGUAGGUGCAGAAGAAGGACCGGCCAACUACGUGCCAGCAGCCGCCGCGG
rnacentral:rRNA from 1 species